rnacentral:lncRNA from 1 species
AUGUGUUUUAAUAUAAGUUGCUAUGUUUUAACUGUGAUAACUAUAAGUGUAUAUUAUUUAUCAUCUAAUAUUAUUUGCAGCAGAUAAGUCCCAAUCCAUAAGUCUGGUGCUGUGCCCGAUUGUUGUACACCCUUGUACCACCCACAGGGGUGUCGUUUAACAUUCAGCAAUGUUUCAUCCUACGAAAUAAACAACCUCACACCCCA